GACGAACGCUGGAGGCGUGCUUAACACAUGCAAGUCGAACGAAGUGGCGAACGGGUGAGUAAUACGUGGGUAACCUGCCCUCCUUUUUUGUAUAAGCCUUGGAAACGGGGUCUAAUACCGAAUAAAGGGGGUUGGGCUCGCGGCCUUUCAGCUUGUUGGUGGGGUGAUGGCGUACCAAGGCGGUGACGGGUAGCCGGCCUGAGAGGGGGACCGGAAACAUGGGGACUGAGAGACGGCCCAGACUGCUACGGGAGGCAGCAGUGGGGGAUAUGGGACAAUGGGCGAAAGCAGGAUGCAGCGACGCCGAGUGGGGGAUGAAGGUUUUCGGGGUGUAAACAGCAUGCGCGAUCGAAAGGGUAGGUGGAGAAGAAGCGCCGGCUAACUACGUGCCAGCAGCCGCGGUAAUUC
rnacentral:rRNA from 1 species